ensembl:lncRNA
CUUUUAUUUACACUAUUAUUUUGAGAGUUUAAUGAGAUCAUGGAUAUAUAUAAAAUCUAUAGUGUUAAGAAGUACUCUGUAAAAAGUUACAAGUGGUAUUAGUUCUGAAGUUAUCCUUACUGACCUCUGCUCUUCCUCAAAUUCGCGUAUCUGAGUGUCUGAUAACACACAGCUCCUUUCCUAGCUCAGAAUCCAGGAUGGAGGUCCCUCUCUGACCCUGCUUUGGUUUCGUAACUUCUUCCACAUCCCCCUGAAGACCUCAUUACACCUAGACACAGGAUGGGGUCUGAGACGGUGAGAAAUACACAACCCCCUCAUGGUCUGUCUAGCAAGUUCACUGUUUACUGAAUAAUCCCUCCUUAGGAAACGAAAAAUCAAGGUCUUCCAUCCUUCCUUCCUCUCCCUAUUCCUUCUUCUCCCUCUCCCUUUCCUCUUUUUCUUUCCUUCUAUUUAUUUCACUAACACAUUAAGCAAGUGUAUAAAAACAAAGCCAGCCAUCUAGGGUUCUGCAACAGGGAGUUAGCUCGCACCUAGAGUUGGCUCCCAGGCACUGCUGCCCUGGCCAGAACAUGAGAAUUAAAAUUCAUUUUUAUGACAUACAUCUGCUGCCCACCCUAUCUAUUCAGAAGCUACUCCUAAAUUUUCUAAGGAAAAUGAAAAGGAAAAUGAAACAGAUUCUCACUCCCAGUGGAGCCCAGCCUUAUGUGCACAGGACCAGAAGAAUCUUUGCAGCUUCUUCCAACAGAAAGAGUUACAACAGUUGAUUUGAGCUUCUUUUUAACUGAAAGCAGUAUUUUCGGUAUUGACGGUUAACAAGAACUGACUUCAGGUGCGGACAUAAAGCAAAACCAACCAGCUGUAUUUCUUGCAAAGUCGGCUGAAGCACUGGGAACCCACACGCACGUGGAGGACAUGGAAACCAAACUUGGAUCUGCCAUUUCAAAGCCCGGGGUGUCACCUCCACCCCAUGUUUUCAACAAAGAUAUAAACAGUGCCCCGAGCCUUUGUUAAAAACAAGACAUCAGGCCCAGAACAGAGUCGCUUAUCCUAAGUCCCGCGUCACCAGACUGAGACUGUUUCAGCUUUCCCAGAGACAGCAUCUUCAGUAAGUCCACCAGAAACCCCCUGACCAGCACCAGUCAGGGUAUCUGCCUGACUGGCCCCUGCUAGCCUCUAAACCAGGGGUCCCCAGCCCCCAGGCCUGGGGCCAGUACCAGUCCACGGUCUGUUAGGAGCUGGGCCACCCCGUGGGAGGUGAGCGGCUCCCCAUUGCUGGCGUUACGGCCUGAACCACCAACGCCCCUCCCUACCAUCCAUGGAAAAACCGCCUUCCACAAAACCAGUCCCCGGAGCCAAAAAAGCUGGGGACUGCUGCCCUAAAGGAAAUAAUUGUGCAAUAACCAACUAGCUUUUUUUGACUAAUAAAACUCCCCAGUUCCUGCUCCUUUCUGUCUAUAAAAGUCUUUCAUUUUGUACAGCUUCUCAGAGUUUCUGUCCACCUACUUGACUGGAUACUGCCUGAUUGAAAUCAAUUUUUGCUCAAACUCUAAAGGUUUUACAAUGCCCCAAAUGUCCCCUCUCCCGAAAGCCACCAGGCGCCCAGAGCAACCCGGGCCGGUAUCUGCUGUUCUCUCGCUGUCCCUGGAGGUGCUGGGUGAGUCCACUUGGUCCUGGAUCCCCAGCUUUUGCUUCCUGAGCUUCCAGGCCAUCUGAACAUUUCUUUUUCUGCUCUGGGUCAGGAAACCUGCUAGAGGCUGCCUGCUCUGAUGCAGGAAGGAGAGUGUCUGGCAUCAGAGUGGAUCUGACUUAGGGUGGGGCUGAGGUCUCAGGUGAAUACAAUUGUGUUUUACAGCUGAAAUAGCAGGUUAAACCUAUCAAACAUAAUCCAUGGGGAACUUUUUAAUUUAGGAAGGCCUGGCGUGCUGCGAUUCAUGGGGUCGAAAAGAGUUGGACACGACUGAGCGACUGAUCUGAUCUGAUCUGAAGCUUAUCCCUUUACAAGAUGCCCUGAAGCAGCGGUUCCCAACCUUUUUGGCAUCAGGCACUGGUUUCAUGGAAGACAGUUUUUCCACUGAUGAGGGAGGAGGGGGAUGGUUUGGGGAUGAUGCAAUCGGAUUACAUUUAUUGUGCACUUUAUUUCUAUCCACUCACAGUUGAAUCCCAGAACCAAAUUAAUGACUCUGAGUUUGCAAAGAAAAGGGCAAUGUAAAAUUUUACCUCCCUCACUUGACUAGGCACCACAGAUAGAGACCUGGGAAAGCUGACCCUGGUAACAAUUUCCACCCUUUGGUGGCUUCUGCUAAUUUUCCCAAGUUCCCUUCUGCAGGUUCUGGAGAGAAGGAAGAGGAAUUUUUCUUCUACCCUUUACACUGAGUCCUUGGCUCACUCGUUCUCUAGGGUAGGGGUCCCCAACCUACAGGAUCUCUUGCCCAAUGAUCUGGACACUUGGGUUGUUUCCACAUCUUGGAUAUUGUGAAUAACACUGCAGUGAACAUACAGGUGCAUAGAUUCUUUCUAGUCAGGGUUUCAUUUUCUUCAGAUAAAUACCUGGAGGUGGAGUUGCUGGAUCAUAAGGUAGUUCUAUUUUUAACUUUUUUUUAGGACGCUCCACUGUUUCCACAGUGGCUGCACAGAUGCACAUUCUCACCAAUACUUCUUUUCCUUUUAUGACAGCCAUUCUGACAGUUGUGAGAUCAUAGCUCAUUGUGGUUUUCAUUUAUAUGUUCCUAGUGAUUCGGAAUGUUGAGCAUCAUUUCAUGUGCCUGUUGGCCAUGUGAAUGGCUUUGAAAAAAAUGUCUGUUCAGAUGUUCUGUCCGUUUUUUAG